rnacentral:tRNA from 1 species
UGGAAGCCUAGGCUACGAGCCUGGGGUUUUAUCGUGGUCCCAGGCUGGAAGCCUAGGCUACGAGCCUGGGUUUUUAUC